rnacentral:lncRNA from 1 species
GCUGAAGGUGACUACCAGGGAAGAGAAAAGGGGUAACUUUAAAUAAGGCUGAUAGGAGAAGCCUGACACCUGGCCUGUGCUUUCUGGCUCCUGCAAACUUACUCUCCUGCCUGCUGCACAGCUUCUGACUUGAUUUAUCAUCCAGAGAAAAAUCCCUUUUAGAAGGCCACUGUGGGAGUGCAUGGUCUUGCAUACAAAGGCUGGAUGGGAGACUUUAAAAUGCCAAUGCCUUGUUCCUGCUGUGAGCCAUGGGCAUGCAGAAUCCUACCUGUGCUUGAGAGUGAGGAAAGAGGAGUGCCUUGCUACCUGAGACUGAAAGAUAAUCAUGCAAGAAGCAUUGAGAAAAAUGCAGAGGAAGAUCAACACUUCAGUAACUUGAACACUUUAUUAAAGCAAGAGAAAUAUGUACCUUUACUGUCAUUUUAUACCUAUCUGAUAAUAUAGAAUGACAGGAGAGUCCAGAAGGAAGAAGUGGA